AAUGAUGUGACAACAUUCAUGUGGACAAAUUUAAUAUCCAUGUCAUUAUUAUAUAUUUUUAAUGGGGGCUAUGGAUUGUUUGGUGUGAUUUUUGAUGUUUUUGAAUUAUUUUUUGAUUGAUUUCUUUUUAAAAAAUACCAUAAUUUUAAUAAUUAAAAUAUUUUAUAAAAUAAGUUUUAUUGAAUUAAAAAUAAAUAAUGACAUGGAUAUUAAAUUUAUCCACGUGGACGCUGAUAUGUAUUAAUGACAAUGCCACAUCAACAAAAUUAGCCCUAAAAUGGGAUGGAGG
rnacentral:lncRNA from 1 species